CAAAAAGGCAACUCGAGUCUCAAAAUAGAAUAUUUACAUAUAUACAUAGAUGAGAGACUCAAAACUAACUGACUGACUGUCUAUGAAGCCUCUAAAAUACUGAGAUGGAUGUUGGGACAGACCCCGCAACAUCCUAAUAAAACAAAACUAAGAGAACAAAAUAUUCGAGUCCUCCGGAAAGCAAGAAGGCUCACCACUG
rnacentral:lncRNA from 1 species